CCCCUAGUAACGGCGAGUGAAGAGGGAAAAGCUCAAAUUUUGAAUCUGGUGUCUUUGGCAUCCGAGUUGUAAUCUAGAGAAGUGUUUUUUGCCUUGGACCACACAUAAAUUCCCUGGAAUGGGGUGUCAUAGAGGGUGAGAAUCCCGUUUGUGGUGUGGACUACCUUGGCUAUGUAAUACACUCUCAACGAGUCGAGUUGUUUGGGAAUGCAGCUCAAAAUGGGUGGUAAAUUCCAUCUAAAGCUAAAUACUGGCGAGAGACCGAUAGCGAACAAGUACCGUGAGGGAAAGAUGAAAAGCACUUUGGAAAGAGAGUGAAACAGUACGUGAAAUUGUUGAAAGGGAAGCGUUUGAAGUCAGUCACAUUGGUCAGAAUUCAGCCUGGCUUCUGCCUGGUUCACUUUUUGGCAAAUGGGUCAGCAUCAAUUUUGAUUGAGGGAGAAAGACUUGAGGAAUGUGGCUGUCUUCGGACAGUGUUAUAGCCUCUUGUUGUAUGUCUCAAUUGGGAUUGAGGAACGCAGCACGCCUUAUGGCCGGGGUUCGCCCUCGGUACGUGCUUAGGAUGUGACAUAA
rnacentral:rRNA from 1 species